CGGGUGAGUAACGCGUGAGGAACCUGCCUCAAAGAGGGGGACAACAGUUGGAAACGACUGCUAAUACCGCAUAAGCCCACGGCUCGGCAUCGAGCAGAGGAAAAAGGAGCAAUCCGCCUUGAGAUGGCCUCGCGUCCGAUUAGCUAGUUGGUGAGGUAACGGCCCACCAAGGCGACGAUCGGUAGCCGGACUGAGAGGUUGAACGGCCACAUUGGGACUGAGACACGGCCCAG
rnacentral:rRNA from 1 species